ensembl:ncRNA H13N06.8 ncRNA
CGAUCAUGCUUGUUUCAUUUGAUAUGAGCCUUAUCGCAAGUAGCAGGUAUCAUCAUAGAAGAUGGAAAGAGAGAAGAAGGAACAGGAACAACUCCUAUUGUGUUGUUGGCGGGAAGAUAGAGGUGGUGGUGGGGAG